rnacentral:rRNA from 1 species
GACGAACGCUGGCGGCGCGCUUAACACAUGCAAGUCGAACGGAAAGGCCUGCUUUCCCUUGUGGAUUGCGGGUACUCGAGUGGCGAACGGGUGAGUAACACGUGAGUGAUCUGCCCCCAACUUGGGUAUAAGCCUGGGAAACUGGGUCUAAUUCCCGAUAGGACUGCAGGGUGGUGCCUGUGGUUGAAAACGAUUUUCUAGUGGUUGGGGAUGAGCUCGCGGCCUAUCAGCUUGUUGGUUGGGUAAUGGCCUACCAAGGCGGCGACGGGUAGCCGGCCUGGGAGGGUGGACGGCCACAUUGGGACUGAGAUACGGCCCCGACGCCUACGGGAGGCAGCAGUGGGGAAUAUUGCACAAUGGGCGGAAGCCUGAUGCAGCGACGCCGCGUGGGGGAUGACGGCCUUCGGGUUGUAAACUCCUUUCGACCGCGAGGAAGCCACCUGGUUGGAAGGGUGGUGACGGUAGUGGUAGAAGAAGCACCGGCCAACUACGUG